AACGAACGCUGGCGGCAGGCCUAACACAUGCAAGUCGAGCGCCCCGCAAGGGGAGCGGCGGACGGGUGAGUAACGCGUGGGAAUAUGCCCUUUGCUACGGAAUAGUCUCGGGAAACUGGGGGUAAUACCGUAUACGCCCUUUGGGGGAAAGAUUUAUCGGCGAAGGAUUAGCCCGCGUUGGAUUAGGUAGUUGGUGGGGUAAUGGCCUACCAAGCCGACGAUCCAUAGCUGGUUUGAGAGGAUGAUCAGCCACACUGGGACUGAGACACGGCCCAGACUCCUACGGGAGGCAGCAGUGGGGAAUCUUAGACAAUGGGGGCAACCCUGAUCUAGCCAUGCCGCGUGAGUGAUGAAGGCCUUAGGGUUAUAAAGCUCUUUCAGCUGGGAAGAUAAUGACGGUACCAGCAGAAGAAGCCCCGGCUAACUCCGUG
rnacentral:rRNA from 1 species